UCAGGACGAACGCUGGCGGCGCGCUUAACACAUGCAAGUCGAGCGAGAACCGGGCCUUCGGGCCUGGGGAAAGCGGCGAACGGGUGAGUAACACGUGGGUAACCCACCCUUGGUACUGGGAUAGCCCGGGGAAACCCGGAUUAAUACCGGAUGGCCCAACAGCUCUUCGGGGCGGUUGGAAAAGGUAGCUUCGGCCUCCGACCAAGGNCGGGCCCGCGGCGGAUUAGCUUGUUGGUGGGGUAAUGGCCCACCAAGGCGACGAUCCGUAGCUGGUCUGAGAGGACGAUCAGCCACACUGGGACUGAGACACGGCCCAGACUCCUACGGGAGGCAGCAGUGGGGAAUCUUGCGCAAUGGGCGAAAGCCUGACGCAGCGACGCCGCGUGGGGAAGAAGGCUUUCGGGUUGUAAACCCCUUUCAGGAAGGACGAAGCCACUCGGGUGAAUAGCCCAGAGGGUGACGGUACUUCCAGAAGAAGCCCCGGCUAACUACGUGCCAGCAGCCGCGGUAAUACGUAGGGGGCAAGCGUUGUCCGGAUUUAUUGGGCGUAAAGAGCGUGUAGGCGGUUUGGUAGGUCCGCUGUGAAAACUCGAGGCUCAACCUCGAGACGCCGGUGGAAACCAUCAGGCUAGAGUCCGGAAGAGGAGAGUGGAAUUCCUGGUGUAGCGGUGAAAUGCGCAGAUAUCAGGAAGAACACCCGUGGCUAAGGCGGCUCUCUAGUACGGUACUGACGCUGAGACGCGAAAGCGUGGGGAGCGAACAGGAUUAGAUACCCUGGUAGU
rnacentral:rRNA from 1 species